CCUACGGGAGGCAGCAGUGGGGAAUAUUGGACAAUGGGCGCAAGCCUGAUCCAGCAAUGCCGCGUGAGUGAUGAAGGCCUUAGGGUUGUAAAGCUCUUUCGCACGCGACGAUGAUGACGGUAGCGUGAGAAGAAGCCCCGGCUAACUUCGUGCCAGCAGCCGCGGUAAU
rnacentral:rRNA from 3 species